UGUGGAAAGGGGGAUUGGACAGCUAAAGCAACGUUUCCAGAUUUACAUAGUGAAAUCCGCCUUAGUCCAGAGAAGACAUGUAAAGUGAUCACUGUGUGCGCUUCUUCACAACCUGUGCCGGCAAAGGAACAUACCAUAGACAGGAGAUUGUGAUGAGUUUGAUGAUGAUGACAAUGAACACAACCAAUUUGUUCAUGAAGUGGAACAAUGUGGACUGGCAUUCAGUGAUCACUUUGUCCAUACACACUUUGGGGGUGAUGGCCAUGCACAAGCAGCAGGCCUGAGGGAGGAGGCAGGUGAUGGGAUUGAGAAAGAGGAAGCUAGAAGAGGAAGAGAUGCAGUAAGAGGAAGAGGUGCUGGAAGAGGAAGAGGUGCUGGAAGAGGAAGAUGACUUGCAUCUUAAGGACCUGGGUUUCCAUUUGGCCUGUAACAUAAAUUGUAGCCUGUUAAAACAUCAUAUAAUUUGGGAACACAGUUUUUGUGUGGGUGUUUGGUUUGCACAUAAUGAUAUUGUAUGUCUUUCAUUAAAUAUCACCAAAAAUGUACAA